GAUUUUAAAGGAAGGAAAGUGCCGAUUUUCGUUCAAGAACAAGGAAUUGGGAGAGGGGAUCAACCUAUCACUUUUGCUGCUAAUUUGGUUAGCUUCAGGUAAAAAAAUAUAAAAAAAUACUGUAGAAACUCGAUAAAUUAAUAGCCUCACUUAAAUAAUAGUUUCUUCCAGUCCCGACUCGGUAAAAACCUACCGAAUUAUUAGUUCGAUACUUUAAUAUUUCGCUAAAUUAAUAGACUUUUGUUCGUCCCGACUCUAUUAAUUUAUAGACUAAUUUAAUCUAAAUGCAGGGCAGGGGGUGAUGACAGUACAACUUAUGCUCCUUCGCCUUUUUACAUGACGUCGAAGAUGAAAUCGCUUUAUCUAGAAGGAUACAAUUACUCGGUCUUCGAUCUAACUAAGGAUGAUUGUGUUCAAAUACAGGUAAUGUAAUAACCGGUCUAAUCUUUCUCUGCAUAAAUACAUAAAUAACAAAAUGCAAUGAUUUUUUUUAUGGCAACUUGCGAAAAUACUUACAGAUACACGGAGAUACGAUCGAAGGUAGAAUACUGAACGGAAACUCGCCCGUUGAGCUUAUCGAACACUUUACAGAAACCAUAGGGAGGCCGGAGAAGCUUCCGGAUUGGAUAAUUUCAGGAGCUGUUGUAGGCAUGCAAGGCGGCACCGAUAAAGUACGAAGCAUCUUGGACGAGCUACGAGCCAAAGAUACUCCAAUAUCUGCAUUUUGGUUGCAGGUAACUAUCAAAAAAAAAAAAAGCAAUCGCCACUUUAAUAAAUAAAGAGCAAGAACAAGAAAACUCGGAACAAGAAUUCAUUUUUUUUAAGGACGUUUUUUUCAUGCAGGACUGGGUAGGACAAAGGAAAACGGUUAUCGGUUCGCAACUAUGGUGGAACUGGGAAGUGGAUUCGCAUAGAUAUUCGGGAUGGAAACAAUUAAUCGAAGAUCUAAGUGCUCAGCAUAUUAAAGUGAUGACGUAUUGCAAUCCUUGUUUAACUCCGGUACGUGUCUUUUUUUCAGUAAUCUUCUCAUAUAUAUAUAUGUGUGUGUGUGUGUGUGUGUGUGUGUGUGAGAGAGAGAGAGAGAGAGCAUAAUCUUGAAAAAUGGUAAUAACUUAGAAUGUCUAUUACUGAAGAUGGGUGAAAAGAGAAAUGUAAGAAGAAACCUAUUUGAGGAGGCGGUGAAAUCGGACAUACUAGUGAAGGACAGUGAAGGAGGAAUAUACAUGGUUCCUAAUACAGCUUUCGAUGUCGGAAUGUUGGAUUUUACGCAUCCGAAAACGGCAGGUUGGUUCAAACAGAUUUUGCAAGAAAUGGUGGAUGACGGAGUUAGAGGAUGGAUGGCUGAUUUUGGCGAGGGUUUACCCGUCGAUGCCUGUCUCUAUUCAGGUUUAUUUCGAAUUUCGUUUCACAACUUUGUAUGUUUAUAGCAUGAGAAUUAUAAAAAAAAAUUAAACAUUUAAUUUUACCUAGUUACUUUUGUAAAUAUUUUUCAGGAGAAGAUCCGAUGACUGCACACAACAGAUAUCCGGAGCUGUGGGCAAAAAUAAACAGAGAAUUCGUCGAAGAAUGGAAAGCCAGUCGAAUCGGCAAAGCUAAGGAAGAUCCACAAGAGGAUCUAGUUUUUUUCAUGAGGGCCGGUUUUCGAGAAAGCCCGAAAUGGGCAAGUCUAUUUUGGGAAGGCGACCAAAUGGUUAGCUGGCAAGCCAACGAUGGGAUCAAGAGUGCUGUCUUAGGUUUACUCACUAGUGGAAUUUCGGGCUACGCUUUCAACCAUAGCGAUAUCGGAGGCUAUUGUUCUGUCAGCUUACCGUUUUUCAAGUACCAAAGGAGUGAAGAACUUCUCCUUCGAUGGAUGGAGCUCAACGCAUUCACCACUGUUUUUCGAACACACGAAGUAAGUAUUGAAAAACACGAGCAUUAAUGUAACGUACGAUAAAGAACUUGUGAAAUUUAUGCUAGUGUAUAUUCACAUUCUUGAUUUAGGGAAACAAGCCGUCUUGCAAUAGUCAGUUCUACUCGAACCAGAGGACUCUAUCUCACUUUUCACGGUGUGCGAAGAUAUACAAAGCGUGGAAGUUUUACAGAAUCGAGCUCGUAAAGGUAACAAAUAAUAAUUAUCAUCAUCUAAUUUAUAAAUGCUAAAUGAAGAACCCUCCAAUCUAAAAACGGGUAUUUUUAUUUUUUAUUUUCUGUUUUUUAUUAGGAAGCUUCUGAAAAGGGGUUGCCUGUUUGUCGACACCUAUUCCUUCAUUAUCCGGAAGAUGAAUACGUGCAGACACUAACAUACGAGCAGUUUCUAGUCGGCACAGAGAUACUAGUAGUGCCGGUUCUUGACAAAGGAAAGGGAGUUGUUAAGGUUUACUUCCCGCAAAGCGAGAGCUGUUCUUGGAAGCAUGUUUGGACAGGAAAAAUAUAUCCGAAACAAGGCACCGAAAGUUGGGUCGAAGCUCAAAUAGGAUAUCCGGCUAUUUUUGUCAAGGAAGGAUCCAAAAUCGGAGAAACAUUUCUGAGAAACCUUAAAGCUUACGACAUCCUAUGAAUCGGAUCAAUAGAAUUGAUUGUGUAAUAACGAAGGUCAUUGUUCGUUACAUUUCAAGUUUUCGAACUUUUCCAUGUAAUGGAACAUCAAGAUGUAAAUAGACAGCAUCAUUAAAAUUCAAUUUUAUGUCAAAAUUUCACUGAAAAUAUCACAUAGGAAUAAGCCAAACUCCACUGAAGCAAUACAUCAAACAGGUUGUGUGCAUAUAAACAAAGAUAAUAAAAUUUAACACUUCAUGCAACGUACAUAUAAACAAACAUCAGACACAAACAAUGCCGAGGAAUGAAUUCAUACCUCAAUAAGCUGUCUGUGGUAACAAACUUCAAACACAAUUCUUGCAUCGUUUUAGGCAGGAAAAUUUUAUGAUGAAAUUAAUUUUGAGGUUGUUUGUGUUUUUCUUGUGAAG
rnacentral:lncRNA from 1 species